UGCUCACCACACCUCAUCACACUUUCUUC
rnacentral:piRNA from 1 species